GGGAAUAUUGGGCAAUGGGCGCAAGCCUGACCCAGCAACGCCGCGUGAAGGAAGAAGGCCCUCGGGUUGUAAACUUCUUUUAUCAGGGACGAAGCAAGUGACGGUACCUGAUGAAUAAGCCACGGCUAACUCCGUGCCAGCAGCCGCGGUAAUACGGAGGAUGCGAGCGUUAUCCGGAUUUAUUGGGUUUAAAGGGUGCGUAGGCGGGAUGCCAAGUCAGCGGUCAAAUACGGGGGCUCAACCUGCGUCCGCCGUUGAAACUGGCGUUCUUGAGUGGGCGAGAAGUACGCGGAAUGCGUGGUGUAGCGGUGAAAUGCAUAGAUAUCACGCAGAACCCCGAUUGCGAAGGCAGCGUACCGGCGCCCUACUGACGCUGAAGCACGAAAGCGUGGGUAUCGAACAG
rnacentral:rRNA from 1 species